rnacentral:rRNA from 1 species
AGAGUUUGAUCAUGGCUCAGAUUGAACGCUGGCGGCAGGCUUUACACAUGCAAGUCGAACGGAAACGAUGAAAUUGAAGCUUCGGUUGAUAUUUUAGGCGUCGAGUGGCGGACGGGUGAGUAAUGCUUAGGAAUUUGCCCGGUUGAGGGGGACAACAGUUGGAAACGACUGCUAAUACCGCAUACUACCCUACGGGGGAAAGAGGGGGCUCUUCGGACCUCUCGCAAUUGGAGAAGCCUAAGUGAGAUUAGCUAGUUGGUAAGGUAAAGGCUUACCAAGGCGACGAUCUCUAGCUGGUUUGAGAGGAUGAUCAGCCACACUGGGACUGAGACACGGCCCAGACUCCUACGGGAGGCAGCAGUGGGGAAUAUUGCACAAUGGGGGAAACCCUGAUGCAGCCAUGCCGCGUGUGUGAAGAAGGCCUUAGGGUUGUAAAGCACUUUCAGCGAGGAGGAAAGAGAAUAAGCUAAUACCUUAUUCUUGUGACGUUACUCGCAGAAGAAGUACCGGCUAACUCCGUGCCAGCAGCCGCGGUAAUACGGAGGGUACGAGCGUUAAUCGGAAUUACUGGGCGUAAAGCGCAUGCAGGUGGUAUGUUAAGUCAGAUGUGAAAUCCCGGGGCUCAACCUCGGAACUGCAUUUGAUACUGACAAACUAGAGUCUUGUAGAGGGAAGUAGAAUUUCAGKGUAGCGGUGGAAUGCGUAGAGAUCUGAAGGAUACCAGUGGCGAAGGCGGCUUCCUGACAAGACUGACACUCAGAUGCGAAAGCGUGGGGAGCAAACAGAUUAGAUACCCUGUAGUCCACGCCGUAAACGAUGUCUAUUAGAAGUCUGUGAUCUGAAUCGUGGGUUCAAAGCUAACGCAUUAAAUAGACCGCCUGGGGAGUACGGCCGCAAGGUUAAAACUCAAAUGAAUUGACGGGGGCCCGCACAAGCGGUGGAGCAUGUGGUUUAAUUCGAUGCAACGCGAAGAACCUUACCUACUCUUGACAUCCAAAGAAUCCUUUAGAGAUAGAGGAGUGCCUUCGGGAACUUUGAGACAGGUGCUGCAUGGCUGUCGUCAGCUCGUGUUGUGAAAUGUUGGGUUAAGUCCCGCAACGAGCGCAACCCUUAUCCUAUGUUGCCAUCAAGUAAAGUUGGGGACUCAUGGGAGACUGCCGGUGAUAAACCGGAGGAAGGUGGGGACGACGUCAAGUCAUCAUGGCCCUUACGAGUAGGGCUACACACGUGCUACAAUGGGCAGUACAAAGGGUUGCAAACCAGCGAUGGUAAGCUAAUCUCAUAAAGCUGCUCGUAGUCCGGAUUGGAGUCUGCAACUCGACUCCAUGAAGUCGGAAUCGCUAGUAAUCGUGAAUCAGAAUGUCACGGUGAAUACGUUCCCGGGCCUUGUACACCCCGCCCGUCACACCAUGGGAGUGGGUUGCACCAGAAGUAGAUAGCUUAACCUUCGGGGGGGCGUUUACCACGGUGUGAUUCAUGACUGGGGUGAAGUCGUAACAAGGUAACCGUA